UUCUUUGAUUCCUCUCAUUCGUUUCUCCUCUGUGUGGUUCUUCCAUUGAAGAGUUUUAACAGACAUUAUUAGGAAGAUAUUUUAUAAUUACGUUUCCUGGAAGGAAAGAGAGAGAGAGCUCCAUAUACUGGGGACUUAAACAUUCCACACAGUGAUGACUGAAAAUGCCUCUGAGAGAACAGGGUUCUGAUUCUCUGUUUAGGCAACACUUUAACUCAGACAUGGCACGAUCAGAGUACAGGGAUCUACUUUUCUGUUGGAACACUGUCCUCUCACUCACUUGCCUGGCUAAUUUCUACUCAUCCUGCAACAAUCAGCUCAAGCACCUACUCUUCUUGGAAUUAAUGACAUGUUCCUGCCUUAACUCACAUGAAUGCCUUCCCCAGAGUCUACCCGUAUUUAGCAAGGUGACCAUCCUCCAAACACCCACAACACCCUCUAUGCCACAGUCCUCAUCUUGCAUUGGAUGAAAUUAUUUGCUUUUUCCACCAGACUUUGAACACUUUCAGAACUUUUCAGCACUUUCUUUUCAUCUUGGAAACCUGGCAUGGAGCUUAGAGCACAGUAGGAUCUAACUAUUUGUUGAAUGACAAAUGAUUGAGGCUGUGAUCAUUCUCUUGCAGCAGAAAAAGACACAGAACCCAUAGUAGGGGACAGGCAUCAUACUGUGUCUUAAAAGUUCCUUCCUGGACCUUCGCUGACCAUGCUGUCCCUGGUGGUACUUUCUGCGGCCUGCACAGCGGCCCCCUCUCUGAAGAAUGCAGCCUUCCUAGGUCCAGGGGUAUUGCAGGCAACAAGGACCUUUCACACAGGGCAGCCACACCUUGCCCCUCUACCGUUUCUUCCUGAAUAUGGAGGAAAAGUUCAUCGUGGAUUGAUCCCUCAGGAAUUCUUCCAGUUUCUUUAUCCUAAAACCAGUGUAACAGGACCCUAUGUGCUUGGAACUGGGCUUAUGUUGUAUGCUUUAUCUAAGAAAUGUAUCUGUUUAUCGCAGACACCUUCUCUACUUUAUCAGUAGUAGGGUUACUUGUCUAUGCAAUUAAAAAAAAUAUGGUGUCUCUGUUGCAGAAUUUGCUCAUAAACUCAAUGAGCAAAAACUUGCCCAACUAGAAGAGGUGAAGGAGGCUUCCAUCAAGCAAGUUCAGGAUGCAACUGAUUUGGAGAACUCAUAGCUGGCACUGGUUCAGAAGCACCAUUACCUUUCUGAUGUGCAGAGGAAUAACACUGCUAUGGCUUUGGCUGUUACUUACUGGGAACGACUUUAUAGAGUAUAUAAGUAAGUCAAGAAUCGCCUGGACUAUCAUAUAUCUGUGUGGAGAAUGAUGCGUGGGAAGGAACAAGAGCACGUGAUAAAUUGGGUGGAGAAGCACGUGGUGCAGAGCAUGUCUGCACAGCAGGGAAAAGAGGCAAUUGCCCAGUGUACUGCGGACCUAAAGCUGCUGGCAAAGAAGGUUCAAGCACACCAGUUAUGUAAAUGUAUCUAUCCCAGUUGAGACAGCUAGAAACAGUUGACUGACUAAAUGGAAACUAGUCGAUUUGACAAAAUCUUUCUGUAUUAGUGUCUACUGAAGUUAUGGUUUACCUCUCCUAAAAAUGAAAAGUUUGUUUCAUAUAGUGAGAGAAUAUCUCUAUCGGCCAGUCAGAUGUUUCUUAUCCCUCUUACUCUGCAUUCGAGUUGUUCUGUGAUCACUUCUGAAUAAGCAGUUUGCCUCUAUAAAAUCUUGCUGCCUGACUAAAGAUUAUCAGGUUAUAAAUUUGUAGUUAAUUCUACCAUCUUGGAAUAAAGUGACAGUUGAA